GCACGUCCCCUCCCGUCUUCCAACUGCAGUUGAACAAAUCCCCGCCGCCGAAGAGCCUCUUGCAAUCACGCGGUGCUUCUCCGCUGAGUAUAAUCGUCCGGACAUCUUGCAGGUAAUUUUCAGCCCCAUGGAUACAGGAUACUUCGUUGUACUGUUUUGGCACUCAGCUUUGUAUGCUGUGAAUGCGGGCAGUGGGUUCAAGCUGAUCUGAAACAAUGUGGAAGGCCUCAAGAUUCAUUUAAGCUCUAUAGAUUCAUGAUUAUGGUAUUGCAUUUUUGCGAGCUACAAAUAAUUGUGUCCUUUAAUAAGGUUCGCGCUUCCAGUUUACCAGAGUACGUAGACUUCUUCAAGUAAUUGGCAGAAGAUAUCAUUGGUGGUUCAUGCACGUUCAGUGACAAGGGAGGCUGUCUUGAGUCGAACUAGGGGCCAUUGAUGAUCCUUACAUAUUGAAUGUACUUGUUGCGAUCUCAUACACAACUUCGAGGUCGGAUCCAUAGAGGAUAUCAAGCCAGUUUCUGAUGGAGAGGAAAGAAGCAGUUCUUCUCUCCAGUUAAAAAAGUUGAAGG